rnacentral:rRNA from 1 species
UAGAGGAAGUAAAAGUCAUAACAAGGUUUCUGUAGGUGAACCUGCAGAAGGAUCAUUAUUGAAUUGUAAAGGGAUUGUCCAUUCUAUGGAUUCCCGAACUACACAAUAUAUCCACAAACACCUGUGCAUUGUCAGUUUAGAUUGGAGCACUUACGUGCUUUUCAUCUGCUGGCGCCCAAUAAACACAAACUCUGAGUUAAUUGAAUGUGAAGUUAUCUUGCCAUUUUGGCAGAAUUUAAAUAUAACUUUCGACAACGGAUCUCUUGGUUCUCCCAUCGAUGAAGAACGCAGCGAAACGCGAUAGGUAAUGUGAAUUGCAGAAUUCAGUGAAUCAUCGAAUCUUUGAACGCACCUUGCGCUCUCUGGUAUUCCAGAGAGCAUGCCUGUUUGAGUGUCAUGAAUUCCUCAAACCCCAAUGUUUUGCGAAAUUCAUUGCUUGGGUUUGGUCUUGGACAAUCCAGUGCUGCUUUACUCGCAGCUAGUCUCAAAGACAUUAGCAGGGCUCUUCCGAUAUAGCGGACUAGCUUCCACUUGAUGUGAUAAGUAUUACGUCGGUGCGUAGCUUGGAAAGCACAAUCAAGAGCUUGCUUCUAAUCCGGCGAGAAGUCCCAUCUUCGACCCACUAUUCAUUUCUAACUCUGGCCUCAAAUCAGGUAGGAUUACCCGCUGAACUUAAGCAUAUCA